rnacentral:rRNA from 1 species
CACGUAGGGGGCAAGCGUUGUCCGGAUUUAUUGGGCGUAAAGAGCUCGUAGGCGGUUCGGUAAGUCGGGUGUGAAACCUCCAGGCUCAACCUGGAGAGGCCACCUGAUACUGCUGUGACUCGAGUCCGGUAGGGGAGCGUGGAAUUCCUGGUGUAGCGGUGAAAUGCGCAGAUAUCAGGAGGAAGACCAGUGGCGAAGGCGAAUCUCUGGACAGUACUGACACUGAGGCACGAAGGCCAGGGGAGCAAACGGG